CAAAAACAUGUCUUUUUGAUUAUAAUUUAAAGUCUAACCUGCCCAAUGAGGAGUUAAAUGGCCGCGGUAUUUUGACCGUGCAAAGGUAGCAUAAUCAUUAGUUUUUUAAUUGAAAGCUGGUAUGAAUGGUUGGACGAGAAAAUAACUGUCUCGAUUUAAAUUAAAUUAGAAUUUUAUUUAUGAGUAAAAAAGCUCAUAUGAGUUUAAAAGACGAGAAGACCCUAUAGAAUUUAAUAUAUAUAUAUAUAUAUUAUUUUUAGAAUUAAUAAUAAGUUAUAUAUAAUUAUAUUUUGUUGGGGUGAUAGAAAAAUUAAAUUAACUUUUUUUAUAUAAAAACAUUAAUGUAUGAAAAAAUGAUCCGUUAAUUACGAUUAUAAGAUUAAAUUACCUUAGGGAUAACAGCGUAAUUUUUUUUUAGAGUUCUUAUCGAAAAAAGAGUUUGCGACCUCGAUGUUGGAUUAAAAUUAACUUUUGGUGUAGGGGCU
rnacentral:rRNA from 1 species